GAGUUUGAUCAUGGCUCAGAUUGAACGCUGGCGGCAGGCCUAACACAUGCAAGUCGAGCGGAUGACGGGAGCUUGCUCCUUGAUUCAGCGGCGGACGGGUGAGUAAUGCCUAGGAAUCUGCCUGGUAGUGGGGAACAACGUUUCGAAAGGAACGCUAAUACCGCAUACGUCCUACGGGAGAAAGCAGGGGACCUUCGGGCCUUGCGCUAUCAGAUGAGCCUAGGUCGGAUUAGCUAGUUGGUGGGGUAAUGGCUCACCAAGGCGACGAUCCGUAACUGGUCUGAGAGGAUGAUCAGUCACACUGGAACUGAGACACGGUCCAGACUCCUACGGGAGGCAGCAGUGGGGAAUAUUGGACAAUGGGCGAAAGCCUGAUCCAGCCAUGCCGCGUGUGUGAAGAAGGUCUUCGGAUUGUAAAGCACUUUAAGUUGGGAGGAAGGGCAGUAAGUUAAUACCUUGCUGUUUGACGUUACCGACAGAAUAAGCACCGGCUAACUCUGUGCCAGCACGG
rnacentral:rRNA from 1 species